rnacentral:rRNA from 1 species
UACGUAGGCAGCAAGCGUUUGUUCGGAGUUACUGGGCGUAAAGGGUGUGUAGGCGGUUCUUUUAAGUUCGCUGUGAAAUCUCCCGGCUUAACCGGGAGGGUGCGGUGAAUACUGAGGGACUAGAGUACGGGAGAGGAAAGUGGAAUUCCUGGUGUAGCGGUGAAAUGCGUAGAUAUCAGGAGGAACACCGGUGGUGUAGACGGCUUUCUGGACCGUAACUGACGCUGAGACACGAAAGCGUGGGUAGCAAACAGG